rnacentral:rRNA from 1 species
GAUGAACGCUGGCGGCGUGCCUAAUACAUGCAAGUCGAGCGAACGGACGAGAAGCUUGCUUCUCUGAUGUUAGCGGCGGACGGGUGAGUAACACGUGGAUAACCUACCUAUAAGACUGGGAUAACUUCGGGAAACCGGAGCUAAUACCGGAUGAUAUUUUGAACCGCAUGGUUCAAAAGUGAAAGACGGUCUUGCUGUCACUUAUAGAUGGAUCCGCGCUGCAUUAGCUAGUUGGUAAGGUAACGGCUUACCAAGGCAACGAUGCAUAGCCGACCUGAGAGGGUGAUCGGCCACACUGGAACUGAGACACGGUCCAGACUCCUACGGGAGGCAGCAGUAGGGAAUCUUCCGCAAUGGGCGAAAGCCUGACGGAGCAACACCGCGUGAGUGAUGAAGGUCUUCGGAUCGUAAAACUCUGUUAUUAGGGAAGAACAUAUGUGUAAGUAACUGUGCACAUCUUGACGGUACCUAACCAGAAAGCCACGGCUAACUACGUG